AGGACGAACGCUGGCGGCGUGCUUAACACAUGCAAGUCGAGCGGAAAGGCCCUUCGGGGUACUCGAGCGGCGAACGGGUGAGUAACACGUGAGCAACCUGCCCCUAGCUCUGGGAUAGCUCCGGGAAACCGGGAUUAAUACCAGAUACGACCACUUUAGACAUCUUUUGUGGUGGAAAGGAUUCCGGCUAGGGAUGGGCUCGCGGCCUAUCAGCUUGUUGGUGAGGUAACGGCCCACCAAGGCGACGACGGGUAGCCGGCCUGAGAGGGCGACCGGCCACACUGGGACUGAGACACGGCCCAGACUCCUACGGGAGGCAGCAGUGGGAAUAUUGCGCAAUGGGCGAAAGCCUGACGCAGCGACGCCGCGUGGGGGAUGAAGGCCUUCGGGUUGUAAACUCCUUUCAGCAGGGACGAAGCGAAAGUGACGGUACCUGCAGAAGAAGCGCCGGCUAACUACGUGCCAGCAGCCGC
rnacentral:rRNA from 1 species